rnacentral:rRNA from 1 species
UGCACCUACGGGAGGCAGCAGUGGGGAAUAUUGCACAAUGGGGGAAACCCUGAUGCAGCGACGCCGCGUGAGCGAUGAAGUAUUUCGGCAUGUAAAGCUCUAUCAGCAGGGAAGAAAAUGACGGUACCUGACUAAGAAGCCCCGGCUAACUACGUGCCAGCAGCCGCGGUAAUAUGUAGGGGGCAAGCGUUAUCCGGAUUUACUGGGCGGAAAGGGAGCGCAGACGGCUGAGCAAGCCAGAUGUGAAAGCACGGGGCUGA